rnacentral:rRNA from 1 species
CUACGGGAGGCUCCAGUGAGGAAUUUUGCGCAAUGGGGGAAACCCUGACGCAGCAACGCCGCGUGAGUGAAGAAGGCCCUUGGGUCGUAAAGCUCUGUCAAUGGGGAAGAAGUUACUUGGUAUUAAUAGUGCCUUGUAUUGACGGUACCCAUGAAGGAAGCACCGGCUAACUCCGUGCCAGCAGCCGCGGUAAUACGGGGGGUGAAGCUUUAUUCGGAAUUAUUGGGCGUAAAGGGCACGGAGGCGGUCCUGUCAGUCAGAUGUGAAAGCCCGGGGCUCAACCCCGGACGUGCAUUUGAAACAGCAGGACUUGAGUACGGGAGAGGAAAGGGGAAUUCCUGGUGUAGAGGUGACAUUCGUAGAUAUCAGGAGGAACACCGGUGGCGAAGGCGCCUUUCUGGACCGAUACUGACGCUGAGGUGCGAAGGCGUGGGUAGCGAACGGGAUUAGAUACCCUAGUAGUC